rnacentral:rRNA from 1 species
UACGUAGGGGGCAAGCGUUGUCCGGAAUUAUUGGGCGUAAGGAGCUCGUAGGCGGUUUGUCGCGUCGGCCGUGAAAUCUCCACGCUUAACGUGGAGCGUGCGGUCGAUACGGGCAGACUUGAGUUCGGUAGGGGAGACUGGAAUUCCUGGUGUAGCGGUGAAAUGCGCAGAUAUCAGGAGGAACACCGGUGGCGAAGGCGGGUCUCUGGGCCGAUACUGACGCUGAGGAGCGAAAGCGUGGGGAGCGAACAGG